rnacentral:snRNA from 1 species
GUGCUUUACUUUAGCAGCACUCAUACGAAAAUUGAAAGAGUACAGAGCAGAUUCACAUGGUCAUUGUACAAGGAUGGCAGGCAGGCAGGCAGAGCUGCAUGGUGUGGCCUUUU